rnacentral:rRNA from 1 species
AAUCCUUUAACGAGGAUCUAUUGGAGGGCAAGUCUGGUGCCAGCAGCCGCGGUAAUUCCAGCUCCAAUAGCGUAUAUUAAAGUUGUUGCGGUUAAAAAGCUCGUAGUUGGAUCUCAGUUCCAGACGGGCGGUCCGCCUAACGGUGGUUACUGCCUGUUCUGAACAGCCAGCCGGUUUCCCUAGAUGAUCUUCACCGGUUGUCUUGGGUGACCGGCACGUUUACUUUGAAAAAAUUAGAGUGCUCAAAGCAGGCGUGUAGCCUGAAUAAUGGUGCAUGGAAUAAUGGAAUAGGACUUCGUUUCUAUUUUGUUGGUUUUCGGAACACGAGGUAAUGAUUAAGAGGGACAGACGGGGGCAUUCGUAUUGCGACGCUAGAGGUGAAAUUCUUGGACCGUCGCAAGACGAACUACUGCGAAAGCAUUUGCCAAGAAUGUUUUCAUUAAUCAAGAACGAAAGUUAGAGGUUCGAAGGCGAUCAGAUACCGCCCUAGUUCUAACCAUAAACGAUGCCAACCAGCGAUCCGCCUGAGUUCCUCAAAUGACUCGGCGGGCAGCUUCCGGGAAACCAAAGUGUUUGGGUUCCGGGGGAAGU